rnacentral:lncRNA from 1 species
UCACAUAAAACAUGCAAAAGAAAGCUGGAUAGGGCACUUUCGGCGGCAGGUUCGGUGGCCGAAACCCCUCUCCAGAGACGAAACUCAUGCAUGUUCGGCGGCACCUUCGGCGGCCGAAGGUCUCGUCCAGAGACGAAACUCACACCCUUUCGGCGGCCGAACUCCCUCUUUCGGCGGCCGAAAGUCCCUUGCUAAACCGAAAGCCUAGCUUUCGGGGGCAACCUUUGGCAGCCGAAACUGCCUCCACAAGGGGUUCGGCGGCUGAACCUUCCUUCGGCGGCCGAACCUGGUUUUGCCCGAAGGGCAGAACCCUGCUCUGUUUCAUGCAAACUUUGCCCAAAAACC